CCUCAAGAUUUAACAACAACAAUCUCUAUAACCACGAUAUUUCUUCUUCCAUUUGUUAGAUGCAAUAUAAUGUCAGUUACCUUUUUAUCACUGUAUUGUACGUGUCGAGUUGUUGUAUACAAAUCGUUCUACUGGUUGACCGCAGAAUGAAAUUCCUGACGGGUGAUGGAAUGAAAAAUGCAAUAUUUUUUCAAAAACCCUCCUAUCAUAUACGCAUAUACACAUACAGGCACACGCAUUAACAUAGACGCACGUGCACGCACGCACGUUUUACGGACACAUACAUACGUAUAUACGAAUACGAGAAGAAACGAAUAGCCUUGUCAUGAUGAACAGUGAUAACGAGACGAACGUGCUUCGACAAGCUUUCCCUUCGACAGUAUUCAAUGUGACUUCGAAAAGGUAACAUCUCUACGUGCCAUCGUCCUCCCGUCUUAAAUCAUCGUACAAGAUAUUCUACGAAAGGAACGUCACCUCAUGGCCAUUCGUACAACAUAGUUAAGACGACAUAGAAAUGUUUCUAUGGGUGGACCAAAAGUUUUUCAUUCUUCGAAUGAUUUUAUACGAUUUGAGAAAAGAUAAGGAAAAAAAAAAAAAAAGAAAAGAAAAAAAAAUUAAUAGAAACAUGACAAAGAGAAAUAACAACGACGAUUACGACAAUGACAGCAACAACGACGACGACGAAUUCGUUUUCGAAAAAAAAGAUCGUUCGAUAAGAGAUUAACAAAACGUCAGUGUGUGAAGGGUUUGAUAGAGCUAUCGGGGAACUCUCGAGUAGGAGAUGAUCUCAAGGACGACUGGAAAUGGCGGAGACACGCUCGUAAUCCUGUCUCUUAGGGGGAUGAAACGAAUUGGCAUCGGAAGUGUCGAUGGACUUAAGCUCGCUUCACGGGCAACCGAGAGGAAGAGUAGUAGAACUAAAAGUUGAAGAAGAAGAAGAAGAAGAAGAAGAUGAAGAAUAAGAGGAAGAAGAAGAAAAAGAAGAAGAAGAAGAAGAAGAAGAAGAUGAAGAAAAGAAAUAGCGUUGAGAAUGGGAAGGAGGAACGAGCCAUCGUUUCCUGUCGCGGGUGGAACUCAAGUCGAGAGGUGAAACGUCAGAGAAGAAGAAGAAGGAAGAGGAAAAGAAAAAGGAUGGAAGAGAAAGCAUCAAUGCAAUGAGAGAGUGAGAGAGAGAGAGAGAGAAACGAGGGUGUCUAACGAACUUGGAAAAGUAGCUCGUAAAAACUCUCCUAUCUCCUGAUUGUUCUUCCGUCCUUCCUUCGAAGCCGCAUACUUCGGAACAAAAA